rnacentral:rRNA from 1 species
GAUGAACGCUGACAGAAUGCUUAACACAUGCAAGUCUUUGGCGAAGCUGUGCUUGCACAGCCUAGCCAAGGCGGACGGGUGAGUAACGCGUAAGGGACUUGCCCUGCAGUCAGGGAUAACAGACGGAAACGACUGAUAAAACCUGAUAAAGUCAGGCGGACUCAUGUCCAGCCUGAUGAAAAGGAAUGCUGCAGGAGAGCCUUGCGUCCUAUUAGCUUGUUGGUGGGGUAACGGCCCACCAAGGCGAUGAUAGGUAGCCGGCCUGAGAGGGUGGACGGCCACAAGGGGACUGAGAUACGGCCCUUACUCCUACGGGAGGCAGCAGUGGGGAAUAUUGGACAAUGGGGGCAACCCUGAUCCAGCAAUUCUGUGUGCACGAUGAAGGUCUUCGGAUUGUAAAGUGCUUUCAGCAGGGAAGAAAAAAAUGACGGUACCUGCAGAAGAAGCGACGGCUAAAUACGUGCCAGCAGCCGCGGUAAUACGUAUGUCGCGAGCGUUAUCCGGAAUUAUUGGGCAUAAAGGGCAUCUAGGCGGCCGGAUAAGUCUGGGGUGAAAACUUGCGGCUCAACCGCAAGCCUGCCCUGGAAACUAUGCGGCUAGAGUACUGGAGAGGUGGACGGAACUGCACGAGUAGAGGUGAAAUUCGUAGAUAUGUGCAGGAAUGCCGAUGAUGAAGAUAGUUCACUGGACGGUAACUGACGCUGAAGUGCGAAAGCUAGGGGAGCAAACAGG